CGUUUUUCCGAAAAGAAAGAAGAAGGGGUGAGGCGCGACUAAGAGCUCGUCAUGAGGCGUCAGGCGUGGCGUCCGGAUUUGGGGGGGAUUUGGGAUCGGGGGGAGGCGGGGGCCGGGCAGGUACCUGAGGAGCCGCGCUAGCCCGCGGUGCCCCAGGAGGUUGGGGGCGCGGACCUAGCAGCGCCCGCAGCGGCAGCGGCCACAGGAGCAGGAGCGCCUCCAGCGCGCGGCGGCGGCCUCCACCGACGCGCCGUUCAGGUCGGGCGGGGGGAUGAGGCCCCGGAAGACGCUGGCGGAGCUCGAGCGGGGCGGCGGCGUCGGAGGCGGAGGGCGCCGGGCGGUCGACGAGGGCCUGGAGUGGAAGCGCCAGUCGCUGUUGAAGCUCUAGCUCCCGAUACAUCGGCCGAAACCUUUGGGCCUGACCUUCUCCUGGGUGUUCCGUCGCUCGGUGUGCCGCCGCCGGCAGUUCUGAGACGAGUUCGUCCCCCGAUGGACGCAGCCCUCCUGUCAGUACCUGCUUGAGCCGAAACCACAAUGACCUCUUUUAAAUGUGACACCUUGUGGUUAAUUGGGUCGUAGAGGUAGUCAACAGGGACCUCCCAGUACGUCACCGAGGCGACAACGUCAAAGACGCGUCGAACAGCUCAAGCGAGAACCAUGACUAUGUUGACCACUAAACUCUUAAGGUCGUAGAAAGACGCCACAAGAAACAAAGGCCGGAAGAGUCCCCCAACACAGAUGAGAACCCUGGAAUGGCUUAAGUGUAUCAGAUCUGUGGUAACCUACCGAACGUGCUCUAGGAGUAUAUGAAUCAGCACAACCUCUACGAGACAAUGGCCGACGACGUACACCUGAAUUCCCCUUUUCCGUCAACCAAAAACGACUACUAACGAAACUCAACGAUUUCUAAGGGUUGGUCUUUUGUCACCUACAGUAUCUUUUACGACAGGCAUGUAAUGGAAUACCUAAAGUCGGUGGAUUCGUGUAGUUAUAACCGGUCAUAUAGUCAAGUUUACAUGGAUCGAACUUCCUCAAGACGCUUGGAAGAUGUUUCAACGUUCUUCCUUUCAGUCGGAACUUUCGAGAGACGUGCCAAUACGACAAUAAUGUCUCUAUACUUAAGUUUCGUUUGGUGCUCCUAACCCAAUUGUGACAUUUUGGCUUCGAACCGGAACUUCAUAGAUGAGCACAUGAUGUUCGACAUUUGAAGUGUCUGCUAUUGUAGUUUAGGAACAUGUAACAUGCUUGACUUACCGCUCGACGUGACUUCUUAGAAGAUUUCCUAUGACCUUAAAAUCAAGACGGUUGGUACCGACCUGUGGGAAACUUUUCCUUGAGAUUUGUCUCUAACAGUAGGCUUAAGCUUCUAUUUUACAUGCGUAAACAGUCGUAACGACGUGAAAGUCCGAGAACGGUCCGGUGACAAGGGAACCCUUUAGUGUUACUAGUAGGAUAUAGAUAAAGUAAACAUCGUCGAGUACCUAGUCUGUUCAAGGAAGAAGCACGAUAGAACCUAUACAUAAGUCGGUAGGUCUUUGUCUAUCAAAACCGUAGGUUCAACCGUGAAGGUGGUCAUUAACUAGCACUACAACUAUGUAGUCUCGACAACUUUCUUUUCCCUUUAUUAAGGAAGUUUUCUUUUGUUACCUCGUUUCGAUAACUUAAGAUAAGACCCCGUUAGUUUAACUUACUGUGUUUACGCUGUAUGAUAACGUUAUCUCGUCGACGAAUAGACCUUGAACCGGCAAAGUUCGUUCGACUUCGCCUAACGCUGGUCCGGAAUGACAACCUAUUUUUCUUACAAUUUCGUAUGGAUGCUGCUCCAUGGCGUUUUCUUUCACAAAACUUAAUGGUUCUUCGAGACGUUCUAAAGUCCGUACGAAAUCGAAACCUCGGCGUCUUGUCUUGUCGGGAACGUCGUCUCUUUUCCGAUGUCUUUGUGGAGUCCACUAAGCCCACCGCCUCGACCUUGGACGUUGAACAGUUUAAAACCCUAGUUUGAUCAAACAGACAUUUCCUUUCUCGGGAAGACGAGGCACUCUUAUUAACCAGCGUUCCGUGACUUGUGAACCGAAGACAUCACAGCAACAAACGCAAAGCAUUUAACUUUUAAAACCGUACUUAAGCACUUCUAUAACCGUAGAAGACCCACGUCGUCUUUGUUGACCGCGCGACUCUAUGACAAUCCGGUCAACGACACCGUUCUCUGUAAGGUUCACAAGCCAACUCCGACAUUUUGGUUAUGCCGUUGCACACUAUUGCCAAAGAGCUGCGGAACGUACUUAAUGUCAUACAUGGUUUUUUAAGAUUUUGCUGACCGUUAAGUUGAGUACGGUGAGACGGGGGCAUCUUUGCACAGGUGUUCGCUUCCUAUUCAGUGACUUGUGGUCUGUCAAUAGGUGCCAAGCCGCCCUUUUUUGUCGGUCUUUCGUGUGCCUUUUGCAUCUCAGCGCUUGCUGAAAUGGUGCUAGAUGGGGCACCUCUCCGUUCCCUGUUUGCUAGCCGGCGGCCAAGUGCGGUCAACCAGCUUCGUUUGACGUGGCUACUCAGCGGGCUGCCGCUGGAGGUCAAACAGGGGAGGGAGGAGACGCGCAGGCAGACACACUCGUGCGAGCUGGACCCACACACGUCACCGAACCUAUUCGUUCGGUUGCGGAAGCAAAGAACGUGGGGUAUCUAGCGAACCGGACCUCAUCGACAAAGGGACCCACUAGCCAGCUUACCUCUGCGUCGUCGUCGUCGCGGCCGUGGUCGAGGCCUGCGGGUACCUGGGCGAGCAGAGGGAGCGGCGCUCGGAGGAGAGCCGGAAGAGGGGCAGCGGCAGCAGCUGGUGGCUCGCCCCGCGGUGGUGGAGGUGCUAUGAGGAGGACGGCGAGGGCCACCGGCGUCGCGCGCGCGACAGGCACGAGGCGUCCGAGCGCGACGAGCGGUGCGUCCGGAAGUAGAGGGAGAAGAAGCGCAAGGAGAGGCGCGAGAGCGGGGGCGGGGGCGGCGGCGGGGGGAGCGAGCGCGGGAGCGACGGCGGCGGCGACGCGCCCCUGGCGCGCCCGCGCCCCCCGUGGCGGCGCCGCGGCAGGUGGACGCACCUCGCGCGCGACCCCGUGCACGAGACCCACCGCAGGGCCGAGGGGCACCGGAGGGCGUUCAUGCUCGAGCACGCGCCCGAGCGGCUCGCCGACGAGCUGCUCUUGUUGCACCCGCGCGCCCAGCGGCGGCACUGGGCGCGGCGCGACCGGCCCCGCAAGCUCGCGUGCGACGCCGUCGACCUCCGCAGCCGCCCGCCGCUCACCCCCGGCGGGCCCUACCUCGACCGGCACGCGCGCCAGUCCAGCCCCCACGCCACCACCUCCGGGUGGCACCGGCGCGACCUUCCGUUGCUGCGCAAGCCGCCGGGGCGCCGGCUCUUCGAGCGGCGGCUCGACGACACCGAGCCCGUCUUCUACCGGCUCACGCCGCGGCGUGCGCUCCGGUGGCACGUCAAGCCGCGGCGCAGCGCGGAGCCGUCGGCGCGCGAGCAGCGGCUCGGGUGCGAGGUCCAGCGCGACGAGGCCGACCGACACAAGGACAAGUCCGUGCGGUUGAGCCGCCUCAAGCUCGUCCUCCUCCCGUUCCGCCGGCACCGCCUCGUCGCCUACCGCUACGACGCCAGCACCGACGGCGACGAGACGGCGCCGUCGUUGCCCUGCCUGCGCGGCCACGACUCGCCGUCCCUCUCCCGCCUCUACCACUGCCACGACCUCCUCGACUAGCUCUUCGACGCCACCCUCGUCGUCCUCCUCCGGGACCGCGACACCGACGUGGUGAAGCGGCGGACGGGCCUGUGGCUGACCGGGUUGGAACUCGCGACGAUGUGCGCUACCAUGCGGCUCAGCGCGUUCGAGGAGCGAACUGGUCGUCGCCGUGCAUGCACCUCGUAAAAACCGACUACGAGUUCACACACACGUGAGCUAGCUCGUUGAACGACCAUUAUCACAUACAUUCAAGUCAUGAUGUUGUCUCACCCUUCAAGUGUACAAUACGAUAACAUUAGACGUAA
rnacentral:rRNA from 1 species